ensembl:lncRNA novel transcript, antisense to SLC39A2
CUUGGUGUUUCCUCGGUCUUACAGCUCCAUUGUGCUUUGUGGUUCUGUGUAGUAGCUCUAUAGGAAGGAGGUCCUAAUAUCAUGGUUGGCCAUUGAUCUUGACCAUUUUCAAAAUUUUCAAGAUCAGAGCUGGUCUCCUCUCAGAGGAGAGGAGAGGUGAUUUUACAGAAGCAGAACCACAGACUCCCUACUUUUUGUCUCUGCUUCAGGUUUAGGACCCCUGUUUCUCUCUUCCCCUUAUUGUCAAGGAACGUGAGUACUUCCCAGACUUUAGGGACAAAAUCCCAAGACAGCUAAGAGAAGAUUCAAUGGGAAAGAGAGUAAAACCGGAACAGAGUGAAAAGAGCCUUAUGGUUUCAGCUUGAAAAUUCUGGAUUUCACGAAGAGAUUUUAAAGGGGCUUCAGCAGUCAUAUGCAUGAACCCUGCUCCCAGGAAAACACCAGCAGAAAUACAGCCCAGGAGUCUGAGGACUAGCCGGUGAUGACCUAAUAAAAAGCAGAAGUUACAACCCACUUGACACUGAGGAGACAGACAAAGCAAACCCACAUCAAGGGUGUCUGUUCGCGUUUGAAAUUCAUCGGCACCAGAAAGAGCUAACAUGUUGGCAGUAUCUAGAAAACCAUCAACAUGAGCAUGGGACAGUUCGCUUUGCAGCUGAUCCCACCAUAGUGAGGAGGACGUCUUGCUCUGUUACCUAUGCUGAAGUGCAGUGUUACAAUCAAAGUUCACUGUAGCCUUAACACCUGGGCUCAAGUGAUCCUCUUGCCUCAGCUUCCUGAGUGGCUGGAAAUGCAGACACAUGCCACCGUGCCCAGCUUCUACACUUUUUAAGAAUCACAAAAUCCACUUCCAUUCUUCAAAAAUUUAUUAUUUAUUAUUAAAAAUCUCAAACAAACACAGACAUAUGGGGAUACCAGCAUUCCCCUCCUGGAUACCAGGCAGCUUCAGCCCUGGCAGGCACGAUAGAAGAAAAUACUUGUUACACAUCCUCAUCAACUCUCAGAGGGAUCCUGAGCCGUAGAUGGAGGAAACGCAGACGGAGUAAGCACAGGAUGUUUGCUUCCUGCUGCAAUAUCCCCAGGUACCUACCCAGCUGAAGGGGAUGGGAUGGUACGCCUGUGAGAAGCUACAGGCCAGGUUGGUCAACUGGGGACAAGGGAGUUCAUGGGGACACUGUGAACACAUAAAAAAAUGAGGUAAGACAAAAGAGCCAUCAAUCACAAAACUUAAAAACUGAGAAUAAUAGAGUCAAAAGGGGCCAGGGAGAAGGGAGGACAGGAGCAGUGGGUAGGAAGAGCCAGGGGAAUCAUUAGGUAGGAACUGGAUAGGAACACAAAGUAGUGGAGAGUGGCUUAGCUUUACCAUCUUACAUUUCCCGGCCACGCCUAAGUUCAGAUCCGUGUGGUGGGACAGGCAGAAGUAAUACUCACCGGGGCAA